GGCAGGGAGUGGGAGGGGCUAGAGGUAAAUGAGCGACGGAGUAUUGCGACCUAUAAGAAGAGGGAGUAAGGGCGGGGCUGUGUUUAACUGUGACUGGAAGCUUCGGCCUAUGAGCAGUGAGUAGGCGGGGCUGCUCCUGGUUGCCGAGUUACCGUGGUCCCAUGCGUUAUGCUGACGAUCCCACGAAAAUUCUGUCCCGCCCACUUCCGGUACACAUUCCUCCGUCCAGGCCAGGGUGACGGUGUGUGCUGCUGCUUCCGCCUCAUCCUCCAGGGUUACACAGUAGUGAAGAAGACAUCCGGUGAGUGUGACACACCGAGCAGCCAUCCCCGUGUGUCAGGAAGAUUGCGCAGGACCCAGAGCCCCAACACGGUGCCUCCACCUCACUCACUGACACAUGAGACACAUUGACCAGAAGAUCCUGGAACUCCCUAAAAAGAUCAUUCAGCUGCUGACUGGAGAGGAGGGGGAGUAUAUAGAGGAACACAGGGGUCUGUACAAGGACGUGAUGAUGGAGAAUCACCGGCCCCUCACAUCACUGGAUGGGCCCAGUAACAGAGAUACCCCAGAGAGAUGUCCCCGUCCUCUGUAUUCCCAGGAUUGUACAGAGGAGUAUCACAGGACCCCACAGGAGGAUC